CCCUUAGAUGUUCUGGGCUGCACGCGCGCUACACUGAAGCUAUCAACACGUUUUCCCUCCCUGAGAAGGGCGGGUAACCUUUUGAAUCAGCUUCGUGGUAGGGAUCGGGGCUUGCAAUUGUUCCCCGUGAACCAGGAAUUCCUAGUAGACGCGAGUCAUAAGCUCGCAUCGAUUAAGUCCCUGCCCUUUGUACACACCGCCCGUCGCUACUACCGAUUGAACGUUUUAGUGAGGCAUUUGGACCGACGCAUCUCAGUUUAACCGCUGGUUUGUGUUGGAAAUACUUCCAAACUUGAGCGUUUAGAGGAAGUAAAAGUCGUAACA
rnacentral:rRNA from 1 species